rnacentral:rRNA from 1 species
AACGUAGGUGGCUAGCGUUGCCCGGAAUCACUGGGCGUAAAGCGGGUGUAGGCGGUUCUUUAAGGCGGAUGUGAAAUCCAGCGGCCCAACCGCUGAAUUGCAUCCGAUACUGGGGAACUUGAGGACGGUAGAGGUCGGUGGAAUAUCCGGUGUACCGGUGAAAUGGACAGAUAUCGGAUAGAACACCAGUGGCGAAGGCGGCCGACUGGGCCGUUCCUGACGCUGAGACCCGAAAGCCAGGGUAGCGAACCGG